GGCCCUCUAACUUCAAUACCAAACAAGCACUACAAAGUGACUCAUACAGACACAAUUGCACUAAGAAUAAGAGUCAUGAAAUACUCAGGACCUUUGACGGGUUGCAAACUCUCUUCUUAGCAAAACAUGACUAGAUAUAUUCCAAGUCAAAGAAAGGAACUUGUCACAUAAAGAAUAGGAUAAAGCUGAACACUAUAUUAUUCGUACUUCUACACUAUUUUGCAUAUAGAUAGGAAUAGAUGACUAUUGUAUAGAUUAUCACUAUCUGUUCUUCUGAAUUUUAUGAUAGAAUUAGAAAUUAGUAUAUGACUUGUACACACUAUACUUGUAAAUUUGAAGCUAAUGCUCUUUAUAAUCAAUUCAUCUCGAACAUACAACAUAAAACUCCUUAGUCCUUUUUCUCUUUUGAUCCAGGAUACCACCCCAUUCCUAACUUUUGAAGGUUACUGAAGACCCUUAUAAUGCUUCCUAAGGUGUUGUAAGAUCUUUUAGCUUAGAAAAGUCAGUAGACCUCAUCGAGCUUCCCAAGAUUUUGCAAGAUUCAUUAACCUAUUCUAAAGUUGGCGAAGACCCUUGUCGCAUUUCCCAAGGUGUUGCAAGCAUUCCUUGUCCCCUCUAAGGCUUCCAAAGGUCUUGUUAGCUGCUUUGUCUUCUGGCUACUCCAAGCCGAAAUGAAACAUUCCUUCAGUGAAGUUGUUUGCUCGUAAACAGUCAACACAGACACAUGGUGCACUUCAUCGAAUAUGUCAUUGGCACGCUCGCAAUAUUCAUCACCAAGAUCACCCUCGUGUCAAAAAUAUAGUUCAAUGUGUAACAAUUAUUAU
rnacentral:misc_RNA from 1 species